GGUUCAGGAGGCGGGGCGUGUUUGGGCACGUCCGGGGGGGGUCUAGAAAGGACGGAACUGACGUCAUAAACAGGCACGGUUGCAGUGCAGGCGGAAACGAAUGAAUGGAUUUACAAACCGGAAGUGCUAAUCGUGGGCAGCGCCCGCACCGCACGGGAGCGGCAGUAGCGGCAACCGCGGAAGGGCGGGAAUCACCUAUUGCAAAUCAGAACGAACAGCAACCUUUGAGGACGAGCUGAGAUUUUCCGGCCGGAAGUAGUUAGCGCGGUCGGCGAAGGGGUGACUCCAGGCCGGAAGUAAGGGCUGAAGUAACGAUUUUUGACAGCGGAUGAUGCUCCAUUUCAGAGGCGGAAAUAACUCGAGUGCCGGGUCCUUUACGUCAUUUCCGCUCUGGGCGGCUGUAUCUGCUGAAUAUUCAUGAGGCUCAUGAAUAAUUGUGUUGGUGGAUUGACAGCCUUUCCCGCGGCCGAGCGACAGGGCGUGGUCCCGCUCCCUCCCCGCCCCGCCCCGCCCCGCCCCGAAGAGCGGCCCCAUGCGCCGCCCGCUGGGGACCGCGCCCGCGCCGCAGUGUGGGCUGGGCUCCCUGUCCCGCCGGAGGGAAGGGUCCUGGGGCAGCCUGCGAGACAAGGAGCUGGUGUAAACGUGCCCCCAGUCACGGCCCUGCAGCUUCUGUAGGACCUGCGGGGACUCCUCCAGUGGCUUGGCUGAGGGUCUGGCACAUCUGGCGUGGCGGCCCCCCCACCACACACUCCCCCGAGGUGGGCCCAGGCGCUGUGUACAGGCCAGAGGGCUGGAUUGAGGGAUGGGGACUAGCCUCACUCCCCGCGCCGCUUCGCUGCCUGGGCAUGUCCUCUUCUGUUGGUUGUCUGGGCACGCAGGGACCUUGGGGCCCGAGGGCUUUCUGUGCUGCACAGGCAAGACUCUGUAUGGAGCCAGUGUGGGGGCUAUGGCAGAUAUUGCAAUCCCAAGCCAAAUCCCUGCAGACCGCUGUGACCUUGCAUGCCAUAAUGUUUUAUGGAAAAAUGCUUAUGGGUGUAAAUAUGAUAUAACUGGAAUAUGCGUUAUGCAAAAGGUCUCUUGUAAGGUAUCAUUACAAAGCGUGUAAUCUACUGAGUGUGUUCAUCCUAUUUGUAUGUAUCAUUCUUGUAUCUGAAGCUAGAAAUAUAAAGUAUAACUGAGGUCCUAUUGUAAUUAUGCAAAGUGUGGGCCAUUAAUGGUGGUUUAGAAUCUUGAUGGCUCCCAUUGACUAGAACAAUUGGUUGUGGAUGGUUUAUUUACCUGCAAGCCUUCCUGUGUUCCUGUAAGCCAGCCCAGGAAGAAGGAUGGAAUCCAUCUUAAACCUGGUGCUUUUCUGUUUGGAAGGAGGGGUGGGAAUUCAGAGAGACAAAAGAUUUAUAGCUUGUACCAAAGCUAUAAAAGUGGGUGGAAGAGAACAAAGAGGAUCCUAGUCCUGAAAAAGCCCCUGCUUUUCACAUAAUAUGCCUGCUGGAACUAACAAGGAUUGUACUGGGGAAAGAAUUGGGCCCAGACUGGGAAGGAGUCUAGUCUAUGAAAGAAGCUUAUUGGAACAUCUCUGAGGCAAAUAGGCAGGGCUUCAAGAGCUCCAACCCUUGUGGAAGGGUUGGAAGAACUUCGGAUUGCUAGAGCCCUAUCAGACUGCUGGGAAUUAAAGGUUUGUCAGUUUAUAGCCCAGGGAUGAGAUGACACUGAAUGGCCCAAAGGGGUCUACUACGAAGGAAAAAGUGACAGUGGUGUGGAAGAGGUGAACCACUCCAUGACCCUUGGACGUAUGCAGCGACCGCAGAUCAAGGAGCUGUGCACUAGCUUCACACCAACAAAGAUCUUAGCCACCCCAGGAUUGACCGAACGGGCAUACCACUCCAUUGACACAGGUAAUGCUCACCCAAUUAGAGCCCAACCUUACCAGGUGUCUCCUCAAGCCAAAACUGCUAUAGAAUGGGAGAUACAGGACAUGCUACAGAUGGGUGUAAUCUGCCCCUCUAACAGUGCAUGGUCAUCUCCAAUGGUUCUAGUUCUCAAACUAGAUGAGAAUGCUGUAACUCGCCCAGACAACUAUCCAAUGCCAUGCACAGAUGAGCUAUUGGAGAAACUGGGGCGGGCCCAGUUCACUUCUACCUUAGACUUAACCAAGGGGUACUGGCAAAUACCGCUGGAUGAAUCUGCCAAGGAAAGGUCAGCCUUCAUCACCCAUGUAGAGCUGUAUGAAUUUCAAUAUGCUCCCUUUUGGGCUGCAAAAUGCACCUGCUACUUUCCAGAAUCUAGCAGGAUUGGGAGAAUCUGCAGUCGCCUACCUUGACUAUGUGGCCAUCUUUUCUGAUUCAUGGGCAGAACACCUGGAGUGUCUGCAAAAAGUCUGCAUAAGGGAGGCAGGACUGUUAAGGCUAAAAAGCAUCAAAUAGGCCUAAACAGAGUGACUUACCUUGGACACCAGGUGGGUCAAGGAACUAUUAACCCCCUACAGGCCUGAAGUGGCUGCUAUUCAAAAGUGGCCCGUCCUAACGUCAAAGAAACAGAUCCAAUCCUUCUUAGGCUUGGCUAGAUAUUACAGGCGAUUUGUACCACACUACAGCCAAAUUGCCACCCCACUGACAGACUUAACCAAAAAGAAACAGCCAAAUGCAGUUCAGCGGACUGAAGUGUCUCAGAACGCCUUUCACUAGCUUAAAGUGACACUCAUGUCUGACCAUGUGCUAAGGGCUCCAGACUUUGAUAAACCUUUUCUAGUCACUGCAGAUGCAUCUGAGCGUGGUGUAGGAGCAGUAUUAAAGCAGGAAGGAUCGGAUCAAGAAUUCCAUCCUCUGGAAU